UACAAGUUCUUCUUUGGAUACUCAACAUUUUUCAACCAUUACUUUUGAAGCUCAAGCUAUUAAAGGCAAAACAACACAACCCUACUUAUGUUGAUAUCCUCCUAACCUCUGAGCAUCGAUGGGAGAGUUUGACUGCACACAGCCACAGUGUGAGGUGUAUGUGCCUGGAGGGUUCGUUUAUCAAUAUCAAUAGAUUCAAGACUGGAUUGACAGUGACGAAUCACGGAAAAUGUAUUGUUGCUGCCUCCUAAAAUAAAGCUUUCAGUAGAAUACUGUA